rnacentral:rRNA from 1 species
UUGUUUGGGAAUGCAGCUCUAAGUGGGUGGUAAAUUCCAUCUAAAGCUAAAUAUUGGCGAGAGACCGAUAGCGAACAAGUACAGUGAUGGAAAGAUGAAAAGAACUUUGAAAAGAGAGUGAAAAAGUACGUGAAAUUGUUGAAAGGGAAGGGCUUGAGAUCAGACUUGGUAUUUUGUGUGCCUUUCCUUUUUGGUUAGGUUUCUGCAGCUUACUGGGCCAGCAUCGGUUUGGGUGGCAGGAUAAUGACAUUGGAAUGUAGCUUGACUUCGGUGAAGUGUUAUAGACUUUGUUGAUACUGCCUAUCUAGACCGAGGACUGCGUCUUUGACUAGGAUGCUGGCGUAAUGAUCUUAAGCCGCCCGUCUUGAAACACGGACCAAGGAGUCUAACGUCUAUGCAAGUGUUUGGGUGUAAAACCCGUACGCGUAAUGAAAGUGAACGUAGGUGAGAGCCUUUAUAGGUGCAUCAUCGACCGAUCCUGAUGUCUUCGGAUGGAUUUGAGUAAGAGCAUAGCUGUUGGGACCCGAAAGAUGGUGAACUAUGCCUGAAUAGGGUGAAGCCAGAGGAAACUCUGGUGGAGGCUCGUAGCGGUUCUGACGUGCAAAUCGAUCGUCGAAUUUGGGUAUAGGGGCGAAAGAC